GGGAUUAAGUUUACUUAAUUUGUCAGCUAAGUGGCGCACGGGUGAGUAAUGUAUAGUUAACCUGCCCUCGAGAAAGGAAUAACAGUUGGAAACGACUGCUAAUGCCCUAUAUGCCUUUAAGACAUAAGUCUACAAGGGAAAUGCUUUUGUGCUCGAGGAUGGGACUGUAUGGUAUCAGAUAGUUGGUGAGGUAAUGGCUCACCAAGUCAAUGACGCCUAACUGGUUUGAGAGGAUGAUCAGUCACACUGGAACUGAGACACGGUCCAGACUCCUACGGGAGGCAGCAGUGGGGAAUAUUGCACAAUGGAGGAAACUCUGAUGCAGCAACGCCGCGUGGAGGAUGACACUUUUCGGAGCGUAAACUCCUUUUAUAUAGGAAGAUAAUGACGGUACUAUAUGAAUAAGCGCCGGCUAACUCCGUGCCAGCAGCCGCGGUAAUACGGAGGGCGCAAGCGUUACUCGGAAUCACUGGGCGUAAAGAGCGUGUAGGCGGGUUAAUAAGUCAGAAGUGAAAUCCUAUAGCUCAACUAUAGAACUGCUUUUGAAACUGUUAACCUAGAAUAUGGGAGAGGUAGAUGGAAUUUCUGGUGUAGGGGUAAAAUCCGUAGAGAUCAGAAGGAAUACCGAUUGCGAAGGCGAUCUACUGGAACAUUAUUGACGCUGAGACGCGAAAGCGUGGGGAGCAAACAGGAUUAGAUACCCUGGUAGUCCACGCCCUAAACGAUGUACACUAGUUGUUGCCAUGCUAGACAUGGCAGUAAUGCAGUUAACACAUUAAGUGUACCGCCUGGGGAGUACGGUCGCAAG
rnacentral:rRNA from 1 species